AAAAACUCUCUCUCACACAAAUCUCACCCCCACCGUUACCCCUGGCUCUCGGUCGAGCUCCUCUCCCCCACGAUCUCGUCGCCGCUGCCACCACCCACGCCGGCCGGUUCCGGCGAUCUCCGGCCGCACGCAACAUGCCCCCAAGCUCCGCCCCGCCCUCCCCUCCGUCCAGAUCCAUGCGUCAAGGUCAGCACCCUUACCCGCGGCUAGGGAUUCGGGCGCCCCCGUGUUCUUGCCGCCGAGUGCCCAGGUCGGACCGCUGGCCAACGAGCAGCACCCCGCACAUGCACGUGCCCAGGCCGACGAACAGUACGGGGAUUGGCCACGGACGGAGACGAGUGCAGGCGCAGGAGCAGGAGAAUCUGUGGCGGCGACGGAUCUGGUGACCGUCGGGUCGGCUCGUCGUUCGUGGCCGGCCGGUGUCGCGGUGAGGCGCUGUCGUCCGUGGAUUUCGGUGGCGGCUGACGGCCAAUUGCUCUUGGACGCCGCUGCAGCUGCUCGUUUAUGAAUUUUCAGUAAUGCGGCUAGGGAACACAUGGACAUGAAGCUACGGCGGCGACGAAGACGAUAUCGACAUGGGGCUGCGGCGACGAUGAUGACGACGACAUCGACAUCGACACAGGGCUACGGCGGCGACGAAGACGACGACAUCAUCAUGGCGCUGCGGUGGCGGCGGCGAUGACGACAUCAACACCAUCAACACGGCCUUGUGGAGGCGCCGACGUCGACGACAUCAACACGGCCUUGUGGAGGCACCGACGUCGACGACAUCAACACGGCCUUGUGGAGGCGCCGACGUCGACGACAUAGACGCGUGGCAUAUAUUGUGUGUGUGUGUGUGCGUGUGCGUGUGUUAAUUAUCUACAUCAGAUAUGUAUGAUUGAUGAUUGACUGUAUGCAUAACAUGUAUGUAUUGUGAAAUGCAUGUCUAAACUGAAAUAGAUAGACUUUUAUUUUUUUUAAAUCC